CCGAAUGUAGCGUAGCUUGGUAACGCCCUUGUUUUGGGAGCAAGAGAUCGUGGGUUCAAAUCCUUCCAUUCGGACCA
rnacentral:tRNA from 1 species